GAAACGCUCGCAAUGAAGGGUUUAAUCCUAAAUUGUAUGGGAAAACUUCAAGAAGCUCAAGAUUGUGUUCGUCGUGGACUUGUAUCGGAUCUCCGUUCAUAUGUCUGCUGGCACGUAUUUGGACUAAUUCAAAAGACUGAAAAGAAGUACGAUGAGGCAAUUAAGGCCUACAAACGGGCCUUGAUGCUGGAAAAGGACAAUUUGCAGAUUUUGAGAGAUUUGAGUCUUUUGCAGAUUCAUAUUCGUGAUUAUGACGGAUAUUUG
rnacentral:sRNA from 1 species